CGGGACACGUGGUAUCCUGUCUGAAUAUGGGGGGACCAUCCUCCAAGGCUAAAUACUCCUGACUGACCGAUAGUGAACCAGUACCGUGAGGGAAAGGCGAAAAGAACCCCGGCGAGGGGAGUGAAAAAGAACCUGAAACCGUGUACGUACAAGCAGUGGGAGCACGCUUAGGCGUGUGACUGCGUACCUUUUGUAUAAUGGGUCAGCGACUUAUAUUCUGUAGCAAGGUUAACCGAAUAGGGGAGCCGAAGGGAAACCGAGUCUUAACUGGGCGUUAAGUUGCAGGGUAUAGACCCGAAACCCGGUGAUCUAGCCAUGGGCAGGUUGAAGGUUGGGUAACACUAACUGGAGGACCGAACCGACUAAUGUUGAAAAAUUAGCGGAUGACUUGUGGCUGGGGGUGAAAGGCCAAUCAAACCGGGAGAUAGCUGGUUCUCCCCGAAAGCUAUUUAGGUAGCGCCUCGUGAAUUCAUCUCCGGGGGUAGAGCACUGUUUCGGCAAGGGGGUCAUCCCGACUUACCAACCCGAUGCAAACUGCGAAUACCGGAGAAUGUUAUCACGGGAGACACACGGCGGGUGCUAACGUCCGUCGUGAAGAGGGAAACAACCCAGACCGCCAGCUAAGGUCCCAAAGUCAUGGUUAAGUGGGAAACGAUGUGGGAAGGCCCAGACAGCCAGGAUGUUGGCUUAGAAGCAGCCAUCAUUUAAAGAAAGCGUAAUAGCUCACUGGUCGAGUCGGCCUGCGCGGAAGAUGUAACGGGGCUAAACCAUGCACCGAAGCUGCGGCAGCGACGCUUAUGCGUUGUUGGGUAGGGGAGCGUUCUGUAAGCCUGUGAAGGUGUACUGUGAGGUAUGCUGGAGGUAUCAGAAGU
rnacentral:rRNA from 1 species